UCUAACGUCCACACUGGUCACGUGGGGAUGAGGAGAAUCCCCGAGCCUUGCUGGCCAGGCCAAUGAGAGACCUCGCCUCAAAAGGCAAGGUGGAUUCCUCCUGAGUGCACGUGCACUUGCGCCUCCGCGCACAGGGACACACGAGUAUUUUCAAAAAGGAAACGAUGGCUGUAUUUUGAAGUCAGCAGUCAUAAUUAUAACACCUGUAGGCAUGGAUUUCCGAAGCUGGGCUUGGGAUUUUAGUUUCUAAGGCAUACGGAGUCAGCUUCUCAAUAUGGAGAUGUGGAAGGAAGCAGCGUGUUGGGGGCGACUCGUAAACUGCUGGAUGUUGGCCAGCGAAGCAGACCUAGGGUUCAAGGUCAAGUCUGAUGCUAAAGAUAUCUGGUUGCUGUCUUCAAGAGCGUUAAAGUCGGGCUGGGGACGUAGUUCAGUUGGUAGGGUGCUUCCCUAGCAUGAAGAAAGAAGUCCUGGGAUCUAUAUUCAUUACAGCAUAAAACUGGAUGUGGUGAUACGAAUUGUAAUCCCAGCACCUGGGAGCUAGAACAAUUAAGAGCUCCCAGCCACUGAUAUCUCUACCUCUAUCGAUAUCGCUAAUCUAUAUCAUAUCAUAUCAUUCUAUCUAUCUAUCUAUCUAUCUAUCUAUCUAUCUAUCUAUCUAUCUAUCUAUAUCUACCUAUCUAUAUAUCUAUCUAUCAUCUAUCUAUCAUCUAUCAUCUAUAUAUGUAUGUAUGUUCUAUGUAUGUAUGUAUGUAUGUAUGUAUGUAUCUUUAUCUCUCAUUCUCUAUCUCUUUAUACCUCUGUAUAUCAUCUAUGGAUUCAAGGCCAGACUGGAAUACCUAAGACCUGGAAUAAAUACCCUGAUUUGCUUUUUUUUUAAAAAACAACAACAACAACAACAACAACAACCAUCUUCUUUGAAUCUGGACAAAUAAAGAUAUGUUAAA